AUUGAACGCUGGCGGCAGGCCUAACACAUGCAAGUCGAGCGGAUGAAGGGAGCUUGCUCCUGGAUUCAGCGGCGGACGGGUGAGUAAUGCCUAGGAAUCUGCCUGGUAGUGGGAGAUAACGUCCGGAAACGGGCGCUAAUACCGCAUACGUCCUGAGGGAGAAAGUGGGGGAUCUUCGGACCUCACGCUAUCAGAUGAGCCUAGGUCGGAUUAGCUAGUUGGUGGGGUAAAGGCCUACCAAGGCGACGAUCCGUAACUGGUCUGAGAGGAUGAUCAGUCACACUGGAACUGAGACACGGUCCAGACUCCUACGGGAGGUAGCAGUGGGGAAUAUUGGACAAUGGGCGAAAGCCUGAUCCAGCCAUGCCGCGUGUGUGAAGAAGGUCUUCGGAUUGUAAAGCACUUUAAGUUGGGAGGAAGGGCAGUAAGUUAAUACCUUGCUGUUUUGACGUUACCAACAGAAUAAGCACCGGCUAACUUCGUG
rnacentral:rRNA from 1 species